CUCAUCGUCCUUGAUAGAGCUCGGCGCCUU
rnacentral:sRNA from 1 species